rnacentral:rRNA from 1 species
AUUGAACGCUGGCGGCAGGCCUAACACAUGCAAGUCGAACGGUAACAGGAAGCAGCUUGCUGCUUCGCUGACGAGUGGCGGACGGGUGAGUAAUGUCUGGGAAACUGCCUGAUGGAGGGGGAUAACUACUGGAAACGGUAGCUAAUACCGCAUAACGUCGCAAGACCAAAGAUGGGGACCUUAGGGCCUCUUGCCAUCGGAUGUGACCAGAUGGGUUUAGCUAGUAGGUGGGGUAACGGCUCACCUAGGCGACGAGCCCUAGCUGGUCUGAGAGGAUGACCAGCCGCACUGGAGCUGAGACACGGUCCAAAGUCCUACGGGAGGCAGCAGUGGGGAAUAUUGCACAAUGGGCGCAAGACUGAUGCAGCCAUGCCGAGUGUAUGAAGAAGGCCUUCGGGUUGUAAAGUACUUUCAGCGGGGAGGAAGGGAGUAAAGUUAAUACCUUUGCUCAUUGACGUUACCCGCAGAAGAAGCACCGGCUAACUCCGUG